ensembl:lncRNA
UCCCUCUCUCUCUCUCUCUCUCUCUCUCUCUCUCUGUAGUAAGAUGCUCUUAUAUUGCUAUUAGCAAUCCAGUGUGGUUUUCAAUCUUCUUGGCUAUGAUACCACACAUAGAUUUAGGGUCACAGAUCUUCUCCCAAAGCUCUGCAGAACAUCAGAGCUGUCAUGCUGGAUUUAGGAACAUCCCUCUACCUCCAUUUUAAGUCCAGGCUUUGGCUGGGCCACUUAACUGAAUCCACUGAUUUGUCCUGAAGCCACUCCUGGAUUGACCCGUGUUAUCUGAGUCAUUGGUGCGUAGAAAGGUGAACAUUUGUGCACUCAAACAAAUUGUCCUGAGUGUCACUCUUCAUCUUUUCCCUGAUCCUGACAAGCCUCCUACUCCCAGCUAGUUCUGCCACCCCAAUACGCCUUGCAUACAUUGAGAGACAGAUAACUCCUCUACCAAUCCACACGCUGAAGCAGAUACUUAGUUCACUUCGUUUAAUGGACGACUGGAAGUAGGAUGAAACUGAGAAGAGAGUACCGUACAAUAAAUGUAUGAACUGAAGUAGUCAAUGUUAAAAUCUUAAAGGGCCAGCAUAUGUUUUACUCUAAUAUCACAUAUGACAACACACCAGCUGCUGAAAACAUCCCAGCACAUGAUGACAAACUCUGCGGCUAUCACCACCACCCUUCACACAUUUCAUGAAAGCUCCCAAAAAUAAUUCUUUAUUUGAUAGCAUAUGUACCAAAUCAAAAGUGAAUAGUUUAUGAAUUAGUGUUUUUUCAGUACUCAUUUCAAUCCUUUUCUAUCGCACUCUUUAAUCACACGGAGGACAGGUUAUUGUGGAGACGGUUUGUUCGGCAUUUUUAGAGAGGACCAUUUCCUCCAGAGCAGCGUGACUAAUGAGCUUAACGUACCAGGUUUGCUCUCGUCAUGCUGACGGAACCGACACACGUGAAACACUGACUGCACAGCUUGCAGUUCUGAAAAUUGUAGCCCAUUUAUACACAAAUGCAAGAAAAACAUCAGUGUCCAUAAGUGCAAGGACUCCCACGUAAUCUUUUUUUUUUUUGGCCGUUACGUGACUGCUGACAGGCGAACUAAUUUCAGACUGCUUCUUGACAAACUUUGUGGCCUUUUUUAGGGAGUCUAAAGGAGCGUACAGUACACAUGGUACACACUUAGGGUUAGGGUGAUGAUAAACACUUCAAUUUUAGAAUCAUUAAGGGUUGUUUUGCAUAGUCCUCUGAAAACCCUUAAAAGGUUCUCUGUAGACAGAGAGUGUCUUACAAUGCAACAAACACUUAACUACAUAGAGGACUCUCAAGUAACCUGAGAGUUUGAAAGCAAGCUAUGAUUUUCCAAUUUAGUUAAUUUGCUAAAUUAUUUAUUGUCCGUUAAAGAAUGCCAAUAAAAAAAAUGUUUGCCUCGCUCCUCUGGGGUUGUGUGCGUGGAGCUGGCAUGUUCUCCCCAUGCUUUGGGGGUUUUCUCCAGGUAGUCCGGUUUCCUCCCCCAGUCCAAGAACAUGUGUUGCAGGCUGACUGGCAUUUCCAAAUUGUCCACAGUGUGUGAAUGUGUGUGAUUGUGCCCUACCAUUGGUUGGCGCCCUGUACAGUUCCCUUGGGUAGGCUCCAGGCUCUCCUCAUCGACCCUCUGUAGGAUAAGUGGUAUGGAAAAUGGAUGGAUGGAGGAUCAUAUUUGCUGUGUUUCAUCAUAAUUAAUCUCUUGGGAAAACAAGCAGAACUCGACACCACUGACGGAUGUUGUUCGAUCCCCAUCGAGCCUCCACCACUAACAAGUCCAGUGCGUCUUGUUACUAAUUUAUUAACCACAUAUACUAAAAUAUACUUCAAACAGGGAGCAAGUUUAUGAAGAAAAAUGAUUUCAGGCAUUUCGCCUUUCUGUGAUCUCGACUCUAUUUGGAUCAAUUCUAAAAUCUGUCAGUUUAUCUGCUAGUUACAAUGAUAAUUUCAUAUAAAUCCUACAAACAUUCAAGCACUUGUUGAGCAGAUAUCAUGAUAAAGAGAACCUCAGACAGAUACACAGAUGGACAACGAUAAUAGCCAGAAAAUGGGCCUUGAAUUCCUGGAUAUGGAAGUGUAAUUAACAUCUCUGUAUGACAAACAAGAAGGAAGCUAUUGAAGACACUAAGUGUCAGACAUUAAUAUGAUCAUCCUGUUGGUUAGGAUGAUAAUUCCAUAUUAAUCCCGCAAACAUUAAACCACUCAUUCUUGAGCUAUAGCGCUAACAAGAAUCUCAGACGUGUGGGCGGGUGGAUGAACAGACACACACCCCGGAAACUUAAUGCCAUGAAAAUGUGAAAACAUGAAUGCUUACCCAACAUCAACUACCCCACAUGUAAAACACUACAGACAGGAGUUUGAUGACUCCUCAAUCUCCAUUUCCUUUGUACAAUUAUUUGUAUGUAACUAAAAUCUCUCAACGAUGUAAAAGCCAUGCUUGCUUGGACCAAAAAAACAAACAGUUUUCCCCUUAAGUAGCAAGCCUGGGAAUAUUUAAAUCCCAGUGUCCUGGUCCUUUCAUGGUCAGCACAAAGGUGUUUUUCCUCAGUGCAGAAAGACUCUUAAAAGGGUUUAUAAUGGAAUGGAUUUAAUCAGACCUGACUGUGGUGAAUGGUGCAAUCAUUUUCAAGCCUGGUUUCUUUUUCCCUUUACAAAUUGGUAUAUUUAAGUGUAUUUGAAGUAAUGUUCUAUUUAAUCCAAUAUGCUAUUAAAUAUCUUUGUAUGACAAAAUAAAGUCCCU